rnacentral:rRNA from 1 species
GACGAACGCUGGCGGCGUGCUUAACACAUGCAAGUCGAACGGAAAGGCCCUGCUUGCCGGGUACUCGAGUGGCGAACGGGUGAGUAACACGUGGGUGAUCUGCCCUGCACUUCGGGAUAAGCCUGGGAAACUGGGUCUAAUACCGGAUAGGAGCCAUUUUUAGUGUGAUGGUUGGAAAGUUUUUUCGGUGUAGGAUGAGCUCGCGGCCUAUCAGCUUGUUGGUGGGGUAAUGGCCUACCAAGGCGGCGACGGGUAGCCGGCCUGAGAGGGUGGACGGCCACAUUGGGACUGAGAUACGGCCAGACGCCUACGGGAGGCAGCAGGGGGGAAUAUUGCACAAUGGGCGCAAGCCUGAUGCAGCGACGCCGCGUGGGGGAGGACGGCCCUCGGGUUGUAAACUCCUUUCGCUAGGGACGAAGCUUUUUGUGACGGUACCUAGAGAAGAAGCACCGGCUAACUACGUG